CCUAAGGCGGUGGAAACUGGCAGACUAGAGAGCAGUAGGGGUAGCAGGAAUUCCCAGUGUAGCGGUGAAAUGCGUAGAGAUUGGGAAGAACAUCGGUGGCGAAAGCGUGCUACUGGGCUGUAUCUGACACUCAGGGACGAAAGCUAGGGGAGCGAAAGGGAUUAGAUACCCCUGUAGUCCUAGCCGUAAACGAUGGAUACUAGGCGUGGCUUGUAUCGACCCGAGCCGUGCCG
rnacentral:rRNA from 2 species